rnacentral:rRNA from 1 species
GAUGAACGCUGGCGGCGUGCCUAAUACAUGCAAGUCGAGCGAACAGACGAGGAGCUUGCUCCUCUGACGUUAGCGGCGGACGGGUGAGUAACACGUGGAUAACCUACCUAUAAGACUGGGAUAACUUCGGGAAACCGGAGCUAAUACCGGAUAAUAUAUUGAACCGCAUGGUUCAAUAGUGAAAGACGGUUUUGCUGUCACUUAUAGAUGGAUCCGCGCCGCAUUAGCUAGUUGGUAAGGUAACGGCUUACCAAGGCAACGAUGCGUAGCCGACCUGAGAGGGUGAUCGGCCACACUGGAACUGAGACACGGUCCAGACUCCUACGGGAGGCAGCAGUAGGGAAUCUUCCGCAGUGGGCGAAAGCCUGACGGAGCAACGCCGCGUGAGUGAUGAAGGUCUUCGGAUCGUAAAACUCUGUUAUUAGGGAAGAACAAAUGUGUAAGUAACUAUGCACGUCUGGACGGUACCUAAUCAGAAAGCCACGGCUAACUACGU